rnacentral:lncRNA from 1 species
GGUCUUUGUCAGUGCCUUCUCCUUUGGGUUUGGGCCAGGACCUGGCUUGUCCUCAGCGAGAUCUACCCUGUGGAGAUACGAGGAAGAGCCUUCGCCUUCUGCAACAGCUUCAACUGGGCGGCCAACCUCUUCAUCAGCCUCUCCUUCCUCGAUCUCAUUGCACCAUCGGCUUGUCCUGGACCUUCCUGCUCUACGGACUGACCGCUGUCCUCGGCCUGGGCUUCAUCUAUUUAUUUGUUCCUGAAACAAAAGGCCAGUCGUUGGCAGAGAUAGACCAGCAGUUCCAGAAGAGACGUUCACCCUGAGCUUUGGCCACAGGCAGAACUCCACUGGCAUCCCGUACAGCCGCAUCGAGAUCUCUGCGGCCUCCUGAGGAAUCCGUCUGCCUGGAAAUUCUGGAACUGUGGCUUUGGCAGACCAUCUCCAGCAUCCUGCUUCCUAGGCCCCAGAGCACAAGUUCCAGCUGGUCUUUUGGGAGUGGCCCCUGCCCCCAAAGGUGGUCUGCUUUUGCUGGGGUAAAAAGGAUGAAAGUCUGAGAAUGCCCAACUCUUCAUUUUGAGUCUCAGGCCCUGAAGGUUCCUGAGGAUCUAGCUUCAUGCCUCAGUUUCCCCAUUGACUUGCACAUCUC